rnacentral:rRNA from 1 species
UUACUAGAGUAGCACUCGCAUAUCAAUAAGCGGAGGAAAAGAAACUAACAAGGAUUCCCCUAGUAACGGCGAGUGAAGCGGGAAGAGCUCAAAUUUGAAAUCUUAAAGGGUUUCCCUUUACGAAUUGUAGUUUAAAGAAGUGUUUUCUGUUGAGGUUUUGGUAAAAGUUCUUUGGAAUAGGACAUCAUAGAGGGUGAGAAUCCCGUAUUUGACCUUUACUUUCAACUUUGUGAUACACUUUCAAAGAGUCGGAUUGUUUGGGAAUGCAGUCCAAAAUGGGUGGUAAAUUUCAUCUAAAGCUAAAUAUUGGCGAGAGACCGAUAGCGAACAAGUACCGUGAGGGAAAGAUGAAAAGAACUUUGAAAAGAGAGUUAAACAGUACGUGAAAUUGUCAAAAGGGAAGCGUUUGACACCAGUGUUGUUUUUCUGAAAAUCAAUUAAAGAACUGUUUAUGCUAAGCUGUUUAGACUUUAUCAGCUAUCUGUUUAGUUUUGAGCUUUUCUUUAAUGCACUUUUCAGUUAACAAGUCAACAUCAAUUUCUUUUGCUGUAAAAAAGCUUGAGGAAGGUGGCUUGAGAUUCGUCUUAAGUGUUUAUAGCCUCUUGCCUAUGCAGUCGGAGAGAUUGAGGUCUGCAGCGUAGAUCCUUCGGGGCUAAAUGCAUUUGUGCUAAGUUAUAGCAUUUUAUAGACAACUUGUUGACUAUGAUUUGUCUUGUAGCUUACUCGCUUAUGUUAUUUUACCUACGCUUAGGAUGUUGAGUCAUCACACAUCUCU